UACAGUGAAACUGCGUACAGCUCAUUAUAUCAGUUAUUAUUUAUUUGAUGGUACCUUACUACAUGGAUACCCGUAGUAAUUCUAGAGCUAAUACAUGCGUCAAGUCCCGACUUUUUGGAAGGGAUGUAUUUAUUAGAUAAAAAACCAAUGCAGGCAACUGCUCUCUUGGUGAUUCAUAGUAACUUUUCGGAUCGCACGGCUUCACGUCGGCGACAGUUCAUUCAAAUUUCUGCCCUAUCAGCUUUCGACGGUACUGUAGUGGACUACCGUGGCAUUAACGGGUGACGGAGAAUUAGGGUUCGAUUCCGGAGAGGGAGCCUGAGAAACGGCUACCACAUCCAAGGAAGGCAGCAGGCGCGCAAAUUACCCGAUCCUGACACAGGGAGGUAGUGACAAAAAAUAACAAUACCGGGCCUUUUUAGGUCUGGUAAUUGGAAUGAGUACAAUUUAAAUCCCUUAACGAGUAUCCAUU
rnacentral:rRNA from 1 species